rnacentral:lncRNA from 1 species
AAAAAUUAACACAUCCAAUUAUUAUCACAAAACACAUCUUUCAAUUCAUAUCAGCACACAAUACUUUACACAUAUUCAAUCAUACUUUACACAUAUCCAUAACAUUUUCACUUUAUAAGAAAACUCCUUAUGCAAACAUAUCCUUAGACAUGAAAUUUUAUCAACAGAGAGAUGUCAAUUCGGUUAGUUCAUGCCUUCCAAUUAUAUAAGCAAUCAUAUAUAUGUUAUCAAACAAAUGUAAUUAAGUAAAUUUACUUUUCAUAUACUUUUCAGUUACUUACCGACAUUGCAUUCCACACCUUCCACUUCUUAGUCUGAUCAAGGUCGUAGAACGUGCUUGCCCUCAUUCCCACCAGACUCCGUAUGGCGCAACCGAUAUUAUGUGCCACCAAGCUGUUUAUCCCCCUGACGCUAGGGCCUUUUACACGGGGGCAAUACUCCAGCUUGUUCUGCCCCGUUUUGUUGAACGAUAUGCUCCACCUUCUUUCCAGAACAAAAACCCCGCCUCUUUUUCGGGGCCGGAGCUACAAUUAAAAUGUGAAAAUACAUUAUGAUACUUAAUAUACAAGAGGAUAUCUGUUGUGUGUAAGUGGCAUGAAAAUGAAAGAGACAUAUUGUACUGCAAGUUUACUGACCCCUAUUAUAAGUUUACGGACCCCCAAAAGAAGUUUACUGACCCCCAGUAGAAGUUUAUUGACCCCCAGUGAAAAUACAUUAUGAUACUUAAUAUAUAAGAAGAUAUCUGUUGUGUGUAAGUGGCAUGAAAAUGAAUAGUACUGCAAGUUUACUGACCACAUAAGAAGUUUACUGACCCCCAGAAGAAGUUUACUGACCCCCAGUAGAAGUUUACUGACCCCAGUUCAAGUUUACUGAGGGGCAGUAAAUUAAUACACUUUGAUUCGAGCGCUGCCAACGAUGCGUCUUACAGAUUCGGGUGCGGUUGCAGUCUCGGGUGCGGUUGCAGUCUCGGGUGCGGUUGCAGUCUCGGUUGUGGUUACAAACGCCGAUUGAGAUCCCGUUGAACAACUGUCAACUAUAGGGCGCCGCACGAUCAAGGGGGGACCCCCUGGUGGUACUAUCUCAGCCGGCAUGGGGUUAGGAUGGCUGCUACUGCUAGCUGAGCCGACAUUCUACCGUAUUGACUCCAUCAAAUCAUUGGCCUUAGUGGCUCGGCCCUUCCUCUUCCCCAUGAUCACCAUAUCUUGCACAUGAAUAACACACAAUUGUUAGUAAAUGAGUGAGUAAUAGAUAAAGAUUAUGAAAAAUUGUCCAUAGAAAAGCAUACAGGUUGAUCAAACCACUUGUAUUUCUUCACUUU